rnacentral:rRNA from 1 species
GACGAACGCUGGCGGCGUGCCUAAUACAUGCAAGUCGAACGAAGCUGUUUUAACUGGUGCUUGCACCGACUUAAACAACUGAGUGGCGAACGGGUGAGUAACACGUGGGUAACCUGCCCCAAAGCGGGGGAUAACAUUUGGAAACAGAUGCUAAUACCGCAUAAUCACAGAAACCACAUGGUUUCUGUGUAAAAGAUGGUUUCGGCUAUCACUUUGGGAUGGACCCGCGGCGUAUUAGCUAGUUGGUAAGGUAAUGGCUUACCAAGGCAAUGAUACGUAGCCGAACUGAGAGGUUGAUCGGCCACAUUGGGACUGAGACACGGCCCAAACUCCUACGGGAGGCAGCAGUAGGGAAUCUUCCACAAUGGACGAAAGUCUGAUGGAGCAACGCCGCGUGAGUGAAGAAGGUUUUCGGAUCGUAAAACUCUGUUGUCAGAGAAGAACGUGUGCGAGAGUAACUGUUCGUGCAGUGACGGUAUCUGGCCAGAAAGCCACGGCUAACUACGUGCCAGCAGCCGCUGUAA